AAGACAACUAGCAUCACCAGCUGGAGGAAGGAUGUUGUCCUAGAGCUGGUCACAGCAUGGAGCCUCAGGACCCGGGCCCUUCCCAUUAACUGAAGAAGUCCGCAGAAGGCCGCAGAACUCCGCAGAAGGCCGCAGAACUCCGCAGAAGGCCGCAGAACUCCGCAGAAGUCCGCACACAGUAAGGAAGUUGCCUCCGCGUCCAGCCCGCUGAUUGAGCAGGCCGAGAGCCAAUGCGCAAAGAAGGUCCGUUUCCGUUUGUUUUCCUCAUACUUUUCCUUCUUUCUGACCAGUAAGCCACAGAGUUAUGGAAAAGGCUGGGGAAGAAUCUGUGGCCGAGUCCUUCUUCCCACAGGUCCACUAAUUAUGGAGAACCAAAGUUUUUUCUUAAAACUGACGGGACAAUCGAUGAACCUGACCACUGCAGACAUGGACUUCCCUAAACUUCAAUCUGUGGAGAGAGGCCUCAGAGUCUUCACUCGCUAUUUCAUUUUCAGGCUCCUUCCAGCAAAAUAAAAGUAAAAACAACAGCUAUUUGAUGGCUCAUU
rnacentral:lncRNA from 1 species